CCGAAGGUGGGAUUGGUGAUUGGGGUGAAGUCGUAACAAGGUAGCCGUAGGAGAACCUGCGGCUGGAUCACCUCCUUU
rnacentral:rRNA from 1 species